rnacentral:rRNA from 1 species
GACGAACGCUGGCGGCGUGCCUAAUACAUGCAAGUAGAACGCUGAAGGAGGAGCUUGCUCUUCUGGAUGAGUUGCGAACGGGUGAGUAACGCGUAGGUAACCUGCCUGGUAGCGGGGGAUAACUAUUGGAAACGAUAGCUAAUACCGCAUAACAGUAGAUGUUGCAUGACAUUUACUUAAAAGGUGCAAUUGCAUCACUACCAGAUGGACCUGCGUUGUAUUAGCUAGUUGGUGGGGUAACGGCUCACCAAGGCGACGAUACAUAGCCGACCUGAGAGGGGGAUCGGCCACACUGGGCCUGGGACACGGCCCGGACUCCUGCGGGAGGCAGCAGUAGGGAAUCUUCGGCAAUGGACGGAAGUCUGGCCAAGCAACGCCGCGUGAGUGAAUAAGGUUUUCGGGUCGUAAAGCUCUGUUGUAAGAGAAGAACGAGUGUGAGAGUGGAAAGUUCACACUGUGACGGUAUCUUACCAGAAAGGGACGGCUAACUACGUG